UAAUGUACGAUAUACAUAAAUGUAUUAUGUGGUAGAUAUUUUUAUGUACGUCAAGAAGUAGUUUAAUU
rnacentral:tRNA from 1 species